AGCAGAGGGAAGGAGCCCAGCCCAGCCAGGAGCCCAGGAAGCCCCGGGAGGGAGGACUCCACUCCACGGCGUCCAGAUCUGUCCCUGCCGUCAGCCCUGAGGAACCCCAGGGCCGGGGGUUGGACAGGCUGAGCCCCCACCCUCCUCAGAGGAGGAGCCUGCUGGGGAGGGGCUGGGGAGGGCCUGGGGGAGGGAGAGGACUCAGGGGCAGAGGCGGGGCCAGGCCCUCCUGGGGGUUGAGGAAGGAGCAGAGGGUGGCCAAGGACCCCAGGGAUUCCCUCUGGCGCCUGUCAUCAGCAUUGGGCGUCCCCUGGCUUAGUGGCCUGAGGUGACCCCCACAGAUUCCCCGGGGGUCUCAGAGCAGUGAGGGCUUUGGGUCCACAGAGGGAGGAUCCAGGGACCUGCCAGGGCUCAGGCUGAAGACCCUGAGGGAAGACAGAAGGGAUGCCGCAGAAAGACGCCCCGGCCAUCAGCACCAGGAGGCCCCGGGGCGCCAUUACCAGAGGCGGCCUUUCCCGCCUUCCGCAUCCGGGUGUCCGAGAGACUGGGGACUGGGUCAGAGAGCAGCGCCUGAGGGGCCGGAGAGGGGCGCCCAGGGCCUGCUGGAGUCCCGGGGAGACGCCAAGAGAGGGCUGAGGACCCUGGACCCCAGGACAGAGAGGGAGCCUGUGGCCCUGCGCUCGGGCUUGGGAGGCCCCAGAGAGGGCCACCUGAGGAGGCGUGUCCAGCCUUCUGCCUCCGGAGUCUUCGGGAGAGGCUCAGGGAGGAGAGGACCUUGGUCUGCGAGGACGACAUCGGGUCAUCUGAGGAAGCACAUCUGCUCAGCUGACACACAUUCCAGGAGUCAAGGACCCCGAGGGAGGAGUGAGUGUACCCCCAUGGCCAGGACAAAGAGGGGGCCCACAGAAAUCUGGCCUGGCCCUACUGUCAGCCCUGGCACCCCUGGCAGGGCCUGUCUGGCUGAGCCCCUCCUCAUUUCCAGGUCGGUGGUGUCGGGAAUGGGGCAAGGGCCCUGGUCUGAGGGUCUGGACUCAGGUCAGCAGAGGCAGGAUCCCAGGCCCUGGCCGGGGUCACGGUGAGGACUGAGGGGACCCCACACCCCAGGACGCAUGCAGCCCAGGCCAGCCCUACCCUGCUGUCUGCUGUGGGGACACCCGGGAUCGGUGGGUGGAUUCAGUCCCCCUCACUUCCCCUUCCAGUGUCUUCGGGACAUGGGGCCUUGGCCGAAGGAGGGUGGCCUCAGGUCAACAGAGGGAGUUGACCCAGGCCCUGCAGGGUGUCAGGGUGAUGACAGCGGACCAUCCAACCCAGGACAGAUGGAACCCACAGAGUUUGGUCUCCCUUCUUGUCCCUUGGUGCUUCCUGUUAGCCCCUGGGCAGAUGUGGCCAAAUGUGGGCCCCCUCACUUCCUUCUGCUCAGUCUCAGGGGUGUGUGGUCUUGUUCUGAGAGGUUUGUCUCAGGGUAGCAGAGGGGUGGGGCUCAGGCCCAGCCAGGGGAAAGGUGAGGACCCUGAGUGAGCUCUGAGGGCACCGCCCACCCCAGAACAGUGGGGACCUCACAGAGUCCGGCCCAGCCCUCCUGUCAGCCCUGGGGGCCCAGGGCUGUGCUUGCAGUUUGCAACCUGAGGUGCCCCGUGUUUCCUCUUACAGGGGCUCCAGGAACCCGGAGGUGAAGGCCUUGGUGUGAGGCUCAUGUCCUCAGGUCACAGAGCAGAGGAGGCCCAGGCAGUGCCAGGAGUUAGGGUGAGGUUCACACCCUGAAUGUGCAUCCAGGGGCUCCCCCACGCCAGAACCGAGGGGACACUGCAGAGCUGGAGCCCACCCCACCCCAGCCCACCACCAGCCCCAGAACCUCUGGCUGUGCUGGGUGCUCCCUGAGGGGCCAGGUCACUUGUUUCUUCAGGUCUUUAGGAUCAGGUUUCCCAGAAGGACAGAGCCCUGUGAAGCCGAAAGCACCCCAA
rnacentral:lncRNA from 1 species